UACGAAGGGGGCUAGCGUUGCUCGGAAUCACUGGGCGUAAAGGGUGCGUAGGCGGGUCUUUAAGUCAGGGGUGAAAUCCUGGAGCUCAACUCCAGAACUGCCCUUGAUACUGAGGAUCUUGAGUUCGGGAGAGGUGAGUGGAACUGCGGGUGUAGAGGUGAAAUUCGUAGAUAUUCGCAAGAACACCAGUGGCGAAGGCGGCUCACUGGCCCGAUACUGACGCUGAGGCACGAAAGCGUGGGGAGCAAACAGG
rnacentral:rRNA from 1 species